AGAUGAGCGGUUAUCACAAUAACCGUUACUUCUCAGCAAGCAGUUAUUUUUAUCAGUUAUGUUAUUUUUUUGCCACCCUACAGCCAGGAGUGGUGUGUCACCUGUCAUCAGCCAACCCAUAUUGGUUGGUUUGACGUAAAGUCCACAAUACCGUUGGUACAGGUACCUUUGCGAAAGAUACAAAAUGAGUGCCUGUCAUUUUCAGUCACUGAUAGAUCUAGAAAAGUAACAGAUCCAUUUGUUUCAAUAUCAAAUGUAAAUUUAGUCAUUUUAUGCAAGUUACAGUCAUCAACACUAUAAACAGUGGCAUAUUGUCAACGUAUCUAAAGUAGUACACAAUUUUUGUCUGCCCAUGAUGCAUUUGCCGAAAAGAAUAUGUUCUCCAAAUAACUGAUAAAUAUAUCGGCGAGCAUUCCAGGUAUUGAACUUCCCAUGUAUAGUUCGUCUUUUUUGGGAAUAAGUAUCUCCAUUACAGUUAAAGUAGUUAAAUUUCCAACUUAUGUGAUAUUUCCUAACAACCAUGUUGUAGUAUGGCAAAAAACAAAACAUGGGCAUCUAUGGGUGGCACAAUGAGACAGCUGAAGUUCAACAUCCAGGUAGUAUAGAGAUCACUGGUCUACAGACAUGACUACAAAUUAGGUUAUUUAAUGUAUCCUCAAAGUACUUUUGAGCACAGGCAACUUUCCAGGAAGCAUCUUUUCAAGGUGAGUUAUAUCAUCUACAGUUUUGUAAAGGAUAACUCUUGGACAAGAUUUUUCAAGUUCUAUUAAGGCAAUGCCUAGAUCUGGAAAAUCAGUUCUGCAAGCAACCAAAUUUUUGGCAGUUCUUUUUCAACAAUAUUGAACACCAUCUGGGUUGCCUUUACCAUGGCCUUUGUCAUAAUAAUGCCAGCACAAACUUUCAAUACUUAACUGUCUUACUAAACAAUUUGCAAUAAAAUGAAACACAUUUUUGGUUUGGUGCUGAGUGUCUGCACUGUCACUUAAAAAUUGACAUUUUUAUUGCUGGAACUAGUUGCUGCACUUUUGAAAUUAAUGUUUUAAGAUGAGCACAUUUUGAAAGUGGAACAUAUCAUAGAUUACUAGAGAGAGUGCAGAAUGAUUGGCACUGUGUUGUAUUUUCAGGUUUAGACCAGUAAUAGAGAACACAGAUGUGUAAUGUAAUCUGGUUUCUUGAAACUCCUAAGUGAACUGAUUGUAUGGCACAUUUAAUGAAUUAUUGCCAUUAGGCCUAUUUAGUUAUAGUUUAUACUAAUGUAUUAAACUCAUAAAUUAUGAAUUGUGAAAUAAGAAAAUGUGCAAAGUUUUAUGGCCUGACUUAAAUGUUUCACAUCUAUAGACAUGAAUGUCACAUCUGUGGUCACACCAUGUCCAUGAAUGUGACAUCUGUAGAUGUGACAGAUUUUAUAAAAUGCUGAAUUUAAAUAGCUACAUUCAAUUCAUAAAUAUUGUAUUAUGUAAUUAAUUUAAACUAAUGAACACAUAUCUUUCAUGCAAUCAUAAUCACAGGUUGUUUUACUUCUAAAUGUAAAGUAGUAAUGGGCAUAGAUGUAGCACAGUGAAGAUAACCAUGCACAAAAAUUUAUCUUAACUGCAGCCUUUCCUGUUAAGAGUGUGUCAGCAACUACAUACAUAAUGUCCUUGACAAAAUGGCUACUUGCUAGUCUUCAUCAAUAUUAUGACAAUACUAAUGCUGCCCUCUGUUGUGAUUCAUAACAAUUAACAUCUGUGUCUAUGGACAUGGCAUAAAAUUUAAGACAUAAGUUUAGAAUAUUAUAAAACAUAGCCCCUUUUACAAUUUCUUUUUAAGUUAAUGUUAUGUCAAUGUCUGAUAUGUGUAUUUUUAGAAAAUAAUGUGUUAAUACUUGUAACAUAUAAGAAAUUUGUUUUAAACUCAUUGCAACUGUUCAAAGUGGAGCUGAAGACAGUCCACAGAUGUGACAUAUCACUUUCUGUGGUCAUUAAAUAAAAUUGAAACACAAAUUUUUUGCCAUUAUAGUACCUUACAACAUAUAAUUUAAUAACUUUUAUAUAGAUUUAAUGGUCUGUAAAGAUUUGUGUACAACAUUGUGCUGGGACAAGAAAGAUCCCUUUUUGUUAUGUUAUUGUUCUGUUAUUUAUUGAGCAUCCGUUUUAUCAUUAUCAAUGAUAUAGGAGAUGUCAUGAUACAUUAUAUGAGUUUGUAAUUAUACAGAAAAUUAAUAACAUAGGCCUACAGUGGUAAAACAUAUAUAAAUAUAUAUCUUGUGCAGCGUAUAGUAGAGAAUAACAAAACAAACAAUAAUUAAUUAUUUAUAGUGCAUACUAUUUUCAUACAUUUGUUUUUCAUAUGACUUAUCAUUAUCAUUGACCACUGUAGUAGACAAUAACAGAACAAACAAUAAUUAAUUAAUUAUAUUGUG